GACGAACGCUGGCGGCGCGCUUAACACAUGCAAGUCGAACGGUAAGGCCCUUCGGGGUACACGAGUGGCGAACGGGUGAGUAACACGUGGGUGAUCUGCCCUGCACUUCGGGAUAAGCCUGGGAAACUGGGUCUAAUACCGGAUAGGACCACUGCCUGCAUGGGUGGUGGUGGAAAGCUUUUGCGGUGUGGGAUGGGCCCGCGGCCUAUCAGCUUGUUGGUGGGGUGAUGGCCUACCAAGGCGACGACGGGUAGCCGGCCUGAGAGGGUGACCGGCCACACUGGGACUGAGAUACGGCCCAGACGCCUACGGGAGGCAGCAGUGGGGAAUAUUGCACAGUGGGCGCAAGCCUGAUGCAGCGACGCCGCGUGAGGGAUGACGGCCUUCGGGUUGUAAACCUCUUUCAGCACCGACGAAGCGCAAGUGACGGUAGGUGCAGAAGAAGGACCGGCCAACUACGUGCCAGCCGCCGCGGUAA
rnacentral:rRNA from 1 species